AACCAAAUUAUAUUCAUUCAAAAAUAUCAAUUGUUCACAUGACAAUACAGUGUUCAAACAUGACUUCAAAACAUCACAAGCAUAUCUAGAAAGCGCUUUAAGCAUUUUUGUUAAAGAAAAGAGUAACAUGGCUUCAAAGAAAAUGCACUACUAGCAGAUUUUUAGUCUCCAACACUUCAGCACCGCUUCAGGGCAGCUUCCGAACCCAAAUAAUUCUCGCUGAAAAAGUUCAAUCUCCAGGAACACAGAUUAACUGCCAAACCUGCAUAAAAUCAAAACACUCAAAGGCAAGACCAUUUUAAGCAAAAUGAUGAUCCACAAUUCAAUAUGAGAUGUGAUACAAAAUUGAGACAGAGUAGAUGUUGAAUAAUACCAAGAAUUAGAGAAUAUGCUAGUAAUAACACUAGCAAUUCGAGACUGAACAAAUGCACUAUGUAGCCGAUCUAACACUCCUAAAUCUGAAGCAAAAACAAUAUACCAUUUACUAUUAGUAAUCUUAAAUAAAAGCGCGCAAUCUUCACUUCCAUCGCUCCUUCAGAUUGUAAUUCUGUGUACACGCAUUUCCAGAAAUACAGUUGUACAAAAUCCAUCACCUCUGCUGUAAUAAGCGAAGAAACUCAACAUCAAUUAAACUGUUAGCUUGCAAACCAGAAGAAGGGAAAACAGAAGGAUUAUUUAUACAACCAUAUUAAGAAGUCAGGUAAUCAUUGAAUUAGACAUCAAGGCAGUAAUGAAAGUCAAAUGACAAAGUAACAAAACACAAAAAAAUGUGUCAAAUAAAAUUCAAAUGAUAAAAUAACAAAACACACAUCACAUAACUAAGUACUAUAGCAGCAGUAGUUGAGGCCAUACAAACCUGUCAACUAAACUUUGUAGAAUCAUUUCGUACCAUAAGUGCAAACCUAACCACUACUAAUGAUGUCUCAACUACUGCUGCUACGGAGAAGACCAUAUACCUGGUAUAGUUAAGAGUUAGCUUUGGUCAGGUUUAUAAGAUUACCAAAUGUUGGGCACCAUCUGUAAUUAAGAGGACAAAUCUUCAAGCUCUACACAUAUCUAACUCUGCACCAAUUUCUAAUAUAAAUAAAUAAAACAGAGUAAAGGGCAGGAAAAAAAUAUUUUUACAACUUGUUUAGAUGGAGGUAUUUAGUACAUAACAUCCUGAACAUGGUGGCAUGUACUAAGAACAAGAAAUUCAUCAUCAAAUUGUGAUAUAUAUUAAAUUGAGCAAAGAUCAUGUGGCAUAAAUUCAUCAACUUAUUGUGUGGAAAUCGAUAUGAUGGCAAUUUUCACCACAUAACACAGAGGUAGUUUGCACAUAAUAUAUAACAGAGAAGCAGUGUAAUAGCAGGCCUAGUUAACAAACAAUCUACUCUUGGUAGAUGGAUUCAGUGAGAUUAAUGAAUUACUUUCUCUCCAUAAAGAAGAAAAAUCGAAGGUACCAACAGGAGCAUCUCAUGGGCAUUUACUUAUUAAACUAGUAGUUGCUUAACUAACUAGCAGAUCUCACAAAUUCUACACUGCUAGUGCUCGCACAGUGAGAAAAGAAAAAUAGCCAGCAGUAAGAAGUGUUGUGCUCAUGAAGUAACUAAACCAAAAAAAGUAAAAGAGCUGGAUUCCAAAUUAUCUUCUUCAGUGACACAGGGACAUAAGCAUGGACUGAAUUUUUUGUUAGAAGAACAAGCAUGAAUUACGUGUAUUUUCAGUCAAGUUUACUUCCAGCAAUCAUAAUUCACAAAUGUAAAUUGAGCGAGUGCCAUAGCAGAACAUAAGGGCAAAUAGAUGUUUGAGUAAAGUGUAUGCAUAACAUAAAGAGCAUGUGCAGGAAAAGGCAGUGUAGAUAUAAUCACCAAGUAAAAAAUGUUCCUGGUCCAUGUGAGAUGUGCAAAUUAUGUAGGCAAGGGCAGUGCAGAUAUCACUAAGUAAAAAAUGUUUUUAGUUGUACAAAGACCAUUAGAUGCCCUGACUCAUAUGGGAUCCAUCACCAUUAUGUGCAUGCAGAAGAUUGGACACUAUGCAGUAAAAUGAACCUGGCACUGAAAAACCUGAAUAUUCAGUGCACUAUCCAAACUUCAUAGAUAUUCAAGAAUGGCGUUCUUGGCAAGCUCGCCAGGGAUGAUGAGGCGGACGGAGGACGUGGGACGUGGCAGGCAUGGCACUUUUUCUCAACAAAAUACAUGCAAUAAAACUGCAGAUAAGAAAUAGCAUGUAC
rnacentral:lncRNA from 1 species